rnacentral:rRNA from 1 species
GUGCCAGCAGCCGCGGUAAUACAGAGACUGCAAGCGUUGUUCGGAUUCAUUGGGCGUAAAGGGUGCGCAGGCGGUUUGUUAAGUCGGAUGUGAAAUCUCACAGCCUAACUGUGAUAGGUCAUUCGAAACUGGCAGACUAGAGGAUUGGAGAGGAGACUGGAAUAGUUGGUGUAGCAGUGAAAUGCGUAGAGAUCAACUAGAACACCGGUGGCGAAGGCGAGUCUCUGGACUAUUCCUGACGCUCAGGCACGAAAGCCAGGGGAGCAAACGGGAUUAGAUACCCCGGUAGUCCUGGCCCUAAACGGUGUUCACUUGGUGUGCGGGGAGUCGACCCCCUGCGUGCCGCAGCUAACGCGAUAAGUGAACCGCCUGGGAAGUACGGUCGCAAGAUUAAAACUCAAAGAAAUUGACGGGGGCCCGCACAAGCGGUGGAGCAUGUGGCUUAAUUCGAUGCAACGCGAAGAACCUUACCUGGCCUUGACAUCUAUCACGAAAAUCGGUGAAAGCCGGUGACGGCCCGAAAGGGUGCAGGGGAUAGACAGGUGCUGCAUGGUUGUCGUCAGCUCGUGUCGUGAGAUGUUGGCUUAAGUGCCGCAACGAGCGCAACCCCUGUGUUUAGUUACUCCGCAAGGAGGUCUCUAAACAGACUGCCUCGCUUUAAACGAGGAGGAAGGUGGGGAUGACGUCAAAUCAGUAUGGCCCUUACGGCCAGGGCUGCACACGUGCUACAAUGCUCGGUACAGAGGGACGCAAGACCGCGAGGUGGAGCCAAUCCCACAAAACCGAGCCCAGUUCAGAUUGGAGUCUGCAACUCGACUCCAUGAAGCCGGAAUCGCUAGUAAUGGCGCAUCAGCUACGGCGCCGUGAAUACGUUCCCGGGCCUUGUACUCACCGCCCGUC